GAUGAACGCUAGCUACAGGCUUAACACAUGCAAGUCGAGGGGCAGCAUUUCAGUUUGCUUGCAAACUGGAGAUGGCGACCGGCGCACGGGUGAGUAACACGUAUCCAACCUGCCGAUAACUCGGGGAUAGCCUUUCGAAAGAAAGAUUAAUACCCGAUGGUAUAAUCAGACCGCAUGGUCUUGUUAUUAAAGAAUUUCGGUUAUCGAUGGGGAUGCGUUCCAUUAGGCAGUUGGUGAGGUAACGGCUCACCAAACCUUCGAUGGAUAGGGGUUCUGAGAGGAAGGUCCCCCACAUUGGAACUGAGACACAGUCCAAACUCCUACGGGAGGCAGCAGUGAGGAAUAUUGGUCAAUGGGCGCAGGCCUGAACCAGCCAAGUAGCGUGAAGGAUGACUGCCCUAUGGGUUGUAAACUUCUUUUAUAUGGGAAUAAAGUUUUCCACGUGUGGAAUUUUGUAUGUACCAUAUGAAUAAGGAUCGGCUAACUCCGUGCCAGCAGCCGCGGUAAUACGGAGGAUCCGAGCGUUAUCCGGAUUUAUUGGGUUUAAAGGGAGCGUAGGUGGACAGUUAAGUCAGUUGUGAAAGUUUGCGGCUCAACCGUAAAAUUGCAGUUGAUACUGGCUGUCUUGAGUACAGUAGAGGUGGGCGGAAUUCGUGGUGUAGCGGUGAAAUGCUUAGAAAUCACGAAGAACUCCGAUUGCGAAGGCAGCUCACUGGACUGCAACUGACACUGAUGCUCGAAAGUGUGGGUAUCAAACAGGAUUAGAUACCCUGGUAGUCCACACAGUAAACGAUGAAUACUCGCUGUUUGCGAUAUACAGUAAGCGGCCAAGCGAAAGCAUUAAGUAUUCCACCUGGGGAGUACGCCGGCAACGGUGAAACUCAAAGGAAUUGACGGGGGCCCGCACAAGCGGAGGAACAUGUGGUUUAAUUCGAUGAUACGCGAGGAACCUUACCCGGGCUUAAAUUGCAUUUGAAUAUAUUGGAAACAGUAUAGCCGUAAGGCAAAUGUGAAGGUGCUGCAUGGUUGUCGUCAGCUCGUGCCGUGAGGUGUCGGCUUAAGUGCCAUAACGAGCGCAACCCUUAUCUUUAGUUACUAACAGGUCAUGCUGAGGACUCUAGAGAGACUGCCGUCGUAAGAUGUGAGGAAGGUGGGGAUGACGUCAAAUCAGCACGGCCCUUACGUCCGGGGCUACACACGUGUUACAAUGGGGGGUACAGAAGGCAGCUACCUGGUGACAGGAUGCUAAUCCCAAAAGCCUCUCUCAGUUCGGAUCGAAGUCUGCAACCCGACUUCGUGAAGCUGGAUUCGCUAGUAAUCGCGCAUCAGCCAUGGCGCGGUGAAUACGUUCCCGGGCCU
rnacentral:rRNA from 1 species